AUAACAAUACAGGACUCUUUCGAGGCCCUGUAAUUGUAAUGAGUCCACAUUAAAUCCUUUAAUUAGGAUCAAUUGAAGGGCAAGUCUGGUGCAGAGCGACUGACCCGUGCGUGCUGCAGCUAAAA